GUAGUUAGCCGUGGCUUCCUCCUUAGGUACCGUCAUUAUCGUCCCUAAAGACAGAGCUUUACAAUCCGAAAACCUUCUUCCCUCACGCGGCGUUGCUGGGUCAGGCUUGCGCCCAUUGCCCAAUAUUCCCCACUGCUGCCUCCCGUAGGAGUCUGGACCGUGUCUCAGUUCCAGUGUGGCCGAUCAGCCUCUCAGCUCGGCUACCCAUCGUCGGCUUGGUGGGCUGUUAUCUCACCAACUACCUAAUGGGACGCGAACCCCUCUAAAAGCGAUAAAUCUUUGACCUCUUCCCGAUGCCGGGUUGUGGUCUUAUGCGGUAUUAGCAGUUGUUUCCACCUGUUAUUCCCCACUCUUAGGCAGGUUGUUCACGCGUUACUCACCCGUGCGCCACUAGAAUUAUCAAUUCCAUCCGAAAACUUCCUUAAUAAUCCCCGUUCGACUUGCAUGUGUUAGGCACGCCGCCAGCGUUCGUCCUGAGCCAGGAUCAAACUCUGA
rnacentral:rRNA from 1 species